rnacentral:tRNA from 1 species
GCUGGGGAUAUAGCUCAGUUGGUAGAGUGCUUGCCUCACGAGUGCAAGGCCCUGGGUUCAAUCCCCAGCCCCAGCA